rnacentral:rRNA from 1 species
UACGUAGGGUGCGAGCGUUAAUCGGAAUUACUGGGCGUAAAGCGUGCGCAGGCGGCUUUGCAAGACAGAUGUGAAAUCCCCGGGCUCAACCUGGGAACUGCAUUUGUGACUGCAUGGCUAGAGUACGGCAGAGGGGGAUGGAAUUCCGCGUGUAGCAGUGAAAUGCGUAGAUAUGCGGAGGAACACCAAUGGCGAAGGCAAUCCCCUGGGCCUGUACUGACGCUCAUGCACGAAAGCGUGGGGAGCAAACAGG